UUUUUUUUUUUUUUUUUUUAAGGAUAUAUUUUUUAUUAUUUGUAAUCAUGUUUAUAUGUGUGUGGUGCAUAGGUAUGAGUUGGAGUUACAGGUGGUUGUGAGCUGCCUGAUGUGGAUACUGGGAGCUGGGCUCUGGUCCUCCGAAAGAAUUAUGCACCCCUUUAGUCCCUGAACCCCCAUUCCAGCCCUCUUUUUUUAAAAAAAAAAAUGAGAUGAAUAGCCCUGGCUGGCUUUGAAUUUAGGCUCCUCUUACCUGUGCCUCCUGAAUGGUGGGAUGAUAGGUGGAUACCACCACACCCACCUCUGAUUUCCUUUUUCUAGACUCUUGUGGUCCAGUCUAACCUUGAACUUUUCUUUCUCCGCCUCAAGUGCUAGGAUUAUAGCACGGAACUUCACCUGGUCCAUGGCGGUGCUGGGGAUUAAACCCAAGGAUUCCUGCAUGCUAGGAAAUCGCUCUGUCUACUGCACCACACCACCCAGUGUCUCCGGUUUCUUUCAGAGAAAGGAAGUUAGUACCUAGAGAGGCACAGUGGAUUGCUUCACUCCAGGGGUUCUUGGCUUCAGGAUUACAGGAAACCCUUUGGUAAUCUGGCGAAGCCCUCAGAUCUCGUCCACUGGAUGAAAUUACUGAGUCCAGGGGACUGGAAGUGAGGCUCAUUGUACUGAAAUACUCGUCAGUUCGUUUCUCAUUUUCGGAUACCUUAUCUUUUAUCAAUAUAUUAAAUAAUAGUGUAGCAACGAUAGUUAUAAUUAUUGUGACUUAUUGAUGAGUCACCUUGAUUCAUGCACAUAGCGGUAAUUUCAGAUAGGAUCUGAAAGUGUCUGUUGGUGGGAAUGCCUCAGGUUCUACUAAUCCAACCAUGGCUUCUGGCCUAACUCAAUUGAAGUCAAUGCUGGCCACUUAGAAAAUCCAGAGGGAGCGUUCUCCUCGAGUCUACCAGUCUCUGGAUGUGAGUGCAAAUUGAGUCCUUGCCUGAGGCUCACACAACUGAUUCGUGUGGAGCCAUCUGAGAAACAUAGAAUUAACAUGUGUCAACUGUGUCACUGCCUAUGAUGAAGUUAGGUAUUACACAGUAGCAUUCACUCGAGGAAGUUCCUGUCCUUAGUGUGUUCAUGUUUUAAUACUGAGGCUGAGAGAAAAGGGCUCAGAGAAUUAAUGUGGCUCAGAGGAUUUGUGGGGGUUGCUGUUUUAUACUCUUUCCAAAGAAGUGCUGUUCUGGAUCCUAUUUCUCUAUGGUCCAGGGACGUGAAGGGGUCUGGGGAGAUGUUUUCAGAGGCUCACGAGAUUCAAAAGCUUUUCAUAGUGAUACUGAAAAAAAAUCCUUGGCCCCUUAUCCAUCCUCAUGCUUUGUGGGUGUACGUGGGAACUUGCCUAGGUGUUAAGUGUGACAUGGCAGUGGGUCAGCAGGACAAUUCCAGAUGCCACCUGUGAAGCCAGGCUUUAAGGAGAGCCACAAGAGGCCUAGAGAGAUGGCUCAGGGGCCAAGAGUCCUUAUGGCUCUAGGAGAGGACCAGUGUUUAGUUCCUAGAACCUUUCAUGGUGGCUCACCAAUAUCUGUAACUUCAGUUCUAGUGGGUCCAAGGCCUGUUUCUGACUGCCACGGGCACCAGACAUACAUGUGGUACACAUACAUACAUACAUGCAGGCAAACACUCAUACACAUAAAAUAAAAAAAAAAUUAAAGUUCCGUAGAUAUGCCAAAUGCAUGCUUCUGAGCGUUGUCUUUUCUUUGAAAAAGAAUGUUUUGUUCCUAAAAGAAUACAUAUUGAUGUUCCCAUGUAUUGGGCUCCAUACAGUAAUUUUUAAAUUUAUGUUUUAAAAAUGUAUCUGUGUAUGGGGUUCCUGUUUUAAAGGUUUCUCAGCCAAUAUGGCUCUCAAGGCAUCCUGUAACUGACUACCGGGGCAGAGCAGUGAGAAACUGUUGCCUUUUCCAGGGGAAGCAAACAGGCUCUAGGAUCUCAUCUGAGCCCCCACCGUCCCACCCCCAGCCCAAACUUCCUUACUCUGUACUUAGUCUCCUGGGCUCCAGUUGUUUGUGCUUUUUGAUUCUUGUCAUGUUGGAGAUCAUUAACUGUGAGAUACCUUUAUGGCCAGUGCCCCAAUGGCCAAUAGCCUUUAACACGCCUUUUUAAAAAUGUGAUAUUUUCUUUCUUUGCCUGGCUUCUUUAUCUUUUGAACGCGUACACAGACAUUGACAGAUGUGUUCCUCCAUCCCAUUGUUUGCCGUAUAAAGCGCAGUUACAGGAAUAGGGAAUGGAAAUGAAGGAGCUGAGUGGGACAUUGUUGCCUUGCUUCUUACCAAAGAGGCUGAGCAUCCUGCCUGGCUGAGUCUUUGGACAUCUCUCCAGUCUCUUUAGCUGUGCUAGCUGUGUUCUGUAAUGCCGCUGCACACACCGAAUUGAUGAAUAGAGGAGCCCCUCCCACACGUUGCUCUCCACAGUCUGGGUUAUCCGUGAUCACAGACAUAGUGAGAAAUUACGGAACAAGUAAUUCAUCCAGUUUGUUUGUUGGUUUGUUUUACAUUGCAUGCUGUUCUGAGUGGCAUGGUGACCCCGUCCCCACCCUAGUCUGCCCCCUCCCCCUCAGAGGGACAUGCAGCAUCCCCCUGCCUCCGAUGUCCAUGCUGUAUGCACCUCCCAUCUGUUAGUCACUAAGGAGCCAUCGACUGUGGCAAAUGGAAGUGCUGUGUUUGUGUGACCUUUCUUUUGCUUAUCAAUGGCCCUGCAGCACAAGAGUAGUAAUCCUGACAGUUUUACCCAAGUAUAUGGCUAUUUCUGUUCUAUUUUUAUUAUAGUUGCUAUUGGCUUACUGUGCCUAACUCAUGAGUGAAACCUUAUCUUCACUCUGCAUGUAUAGGAAGAGCUUAGCAUGGUGGGGGGGGGGGCGGGGUUGUUACUGUCUGAAGCUUCAGGGGUGCACUGAGAGUUUUGGAGUGCAUCCCCAUCAGAAGGCAGGGGGUCUCCCAGGUUGGCCUCACUUGGGGCUUGGGCACAUUGUCACCUCUCUCUGUGUGGGUUUGUGAGUGUGGCACCAUUGGCAGGAGGGAUAAGGGCGUUACCACUGAAUGUUAACGAGUGGAGACUGGGUGCUGAAGCUAGAUCAGCUGUAGUUAGGAAGAGGGUUGGAAAUAGGAAUCACUUUCUUCCCAUGUGGAUUUUGUUCUGUUUGGUUUUGACAGAUUUAAAACACACACACACACACACACACACACACACACUUUUGAGAUGGGGUCUCCUGUAAAGCAGGCUGGCCUGAAUGAAACACUGUAUAGCUGAGGAUGACCUUAAAAUUCAGGUUUCUCCUCCUCCUGCUGCCCUAAUGCUGAGGUGGCAGACAUCCACCACCAUGCAGGGUUGGGGCUUGAACCUUCUACAUACCAGGAAAGCUCUGAACCCCCCGGGGUGACUCCAGGAAGUGUUUUCUUGUCCAUCCCUUCUCAUCCCAUCUUUUUAUAACCCCACACCCCCGUGUCUUCACCUUUGUCCUCCCUGCCCUCUUGAUUCAUCUGAGAGUUGGCCAUCCCCAGCAGGCUCUGGUGCCUUCUUUACCUUCCUGAUAACCAGUGAUCUCAUUCAAUCUCCUUUGACAGGCAUCUGUUUACCUCCAGAUUUAGACCCCUGUGAGCCUCUUCUUGACAUCUCUCCAUCCUAUCCUGCUUACAGCAGGCAGUUCUCUUAGGUUUUGUGAUAGACAAUUGAUGCUUAACACACUGUGAUGGUUUGUAUAUGUUUGGCUGGCCCAGGUAGUGCACUAUCAGGAGGUGUGGCCUUGUUGGAGUAGGUGUGUCACUGUGGUCGUGGGCUAUAAUAUCCUAGUCCUAGCAGCCUAGAAGUCAGUAUUCUGCUAGCAGCCUUCAGAUGAAGAUGUAGAACUCCAAGCUUCUCCUGCACCAUGACUGCCUGGAUGCUGCAAUGUUCUCACCUUGAUAAUAAUGGACUGAAUCUCUGACCCUAUAAGCCAACCCCAGUCAAAUGUUGUCCUUAUAAGAGUUGCCUUGGUCAUGGUAUCUGUUCACAGCAGGAAAACCCUAAGAUACACACCAACUCAUAUCCCAGCACCUCCCCCAGUUCUGCAUCUCUGCACAUCGUGAGUCAGCCCACAUUUGUCCUAUAACCAAGUUUUGUCCUUCCUCCAAGGUCAAGCUCAGACCACCGCUUCCUAGUGUGUGCAAUGCUUUCCUUUGCCCUACAAGCCUGCUUGGCAGCCUUCUAACUCCUUGCUCUUUCCCCCCUUCUCUAAUCCUUACACAGCCAGGUAAGAUUCCAACAUGUCUCCUCCCUCCAAAAGUCCUCCAUGUAUUCCAGGAGUGGUUGUUGACAUAGGACCUCUUGGUUGUGGCCCUGUGCGUGGAGAUCCAUCUUCUUUCCACCCUUUUGCCUCCCUUUCCCCUCCAGCUGUGCUGGCGUCAUUUCUGUUUUUUGAACUCUGCAAGCUCAGUUUGACUCAGGACCUUGGCACUUACACCUCCCUCUUGUGGAAUGUGCUUCCUGGAUGUUAAAAUAAAUCCAGUUCUCUCUGGUUAUCCUGUCUUCCUUCAGAUAACUCAGAGCGUCGCUUCUCAGGCCCCUUCUUCAGAAGCCCUGCCAUCCUGCUCACACCUCUGCAUGUCAAGCCCUUGUCACAGCAUUGACGAUUUCAGUUCCUUUCCUAUCCUGGUGUUUACAUAGUCCUGUGAUUAUAAAGUGCAUUAGCACCACUGAUCAGAUGUUCCUUUUCCUACUACCAUGCAUCUUGUGGGAAGCAUGCUUAUGCAUAUUCUCUGAGGAGUGGGUAGACCAGGCAGAGUUAGGUAACUUAUGCACACAGAGUUGCCUAUGCCUUUGCAUAGUCACUGGAUGCUAACUGUGAGCCAGGUAGCACUCCUGGGGCUGGGGUAGACUGCGAGAAACUCAAGAGAUGCUGACCUCAAACCUUCACAUUUUAGUGAGUGAGCAGACAGCAAAUCUCAACACAUUUAAAAAAUGGAGAAUUUCUUCAUUAUUUAUGGAGGUGCAUGACUGGAUUGGAUUGGAAAGAAGAAGCUGGUGACACUGAUUAGACUUGGGGGGCAGGGCUGAGUCACUGGAUGGGUGCUGUGUUGAACAGAAGUUGGGAAAGAAAGGUGUGGUCUAUGGAAAGUGAGGAGAUGUGGAAAAACCCCUGCCUCUGGUACCACAAAAGGAGUUGCCUUGUUUUCCUGUCAGAAUAUAGAUGCUGUACGAUGGGUAUACUCAGAGAAAGGGCGAGAGAUUGGAGGGAACCAGGGUGGGUACUGACAAGCAGCAUCUGUUAGCUUGUGGGCUGUGGGAAAGCUGAGGCAGGGGGAUGGAGAAGUUAGGCCAGCCUCGGGGAUAGGUUAGGACCUGUUCCUCAGACACCAGAAUUUCUGUUCAGGUCCUAAGUGUGAUUCUGCCUCCAUAGUGGCUGAGAUUUUAAAUGAACGUCUUGUUUCCCAUGAUGAAUUUUGAGAGACAAAGGAGAGGCGUCGAGGGUAAGAAAUUCAGUCUCUCAGUAUCAGAUUUUCUUAUAAAGCAAACGUUUUUCAACUGUUAGCUUUAUUUCUAGAAAUACUCAAUGUAAUAACAUAACAACCAUAGUCCUGUACUUAUAAAGGAUUUUCAGUAUAUUCAAAG
rnacentral:lncRNA from 1 species